UACGGGGGGUGCGAGCGUUAAUCGGAAUAACUGGGCGUAAAGGGCACGCAGGUGGACUUUUAAGUGAGGUGUGAAAUCCCCGGGCUUAACCUGGGAACUGCAUUUGAUACUGGGAGUCUAGAGUAUGUUAGGGAGGGGUAGAAUUCCACGUGUAGCGGUGAAAUGCGUAGAGAUGUGGAGGAAUACCGAAGGCGAAGGCAGCCCCUUGGGAAAGUACUGACGCUCAGGCGCGAAAGCGUGGGGAGCAAACAGG
rnacentral:rRNA from 1 species